UCUUCAUAUGGUACAAUAUCUCCCUGCACCCCAGUGAGGCAUUCUCUGCCGCCCUGCUGUGUUCUUUACCCCUAUAGCUGCAGUAAUGGGUUCUGGAGAAGGAGUGACAGCCCACUGAGUCACCUGGGUGUCUUAAAGUGAGGAGUUGGAUUGGGGCUGUACUCUAUUUUACUGAUGGGGAAACUGAGGCAUACAGCAGUUAUAUAUUUUGCUCUGGCCUAGACUGGCAGUGACUGUGUUGCAUCAUGUAGGGACCAAAAAAUUCCUAUGACAUUUUUUAACUUUUAGGUAGGAUUGUUUUAAAAAGAUGAGAAAAUAUACUACAUAACAUAAAACUUACCACUAUAGCUGUGCUUUUAUCUUUUAGGAUCUGGUCCAGCCUAGGUUUUAAGUAUUUCUAAAUAUAUGGUUCAGCAAUGCUAUAUAUUUUCACAUGAUUUUAUAUCCAGUCCUCAGGACAUUUUUAUGUUCCCUAACUUAUGCUGCAAACCUGUUUAAUACCCCCCCCCCCCCCCAGCCCCCACAGCCCUCUCUCCAGCUUCAGGAAGUUGUGCUUUUUAUCAUGUGAAUAUGAUCAUAGAAAGAGCUUCCUUUCCAUGUAUUCACACAGUGUGUGUAUGAAUGUGUGUGUAUCUUUGCCUGGCAUAUUUACUUAAGUUCAUCCACAUUGUAGCAUUAGAAUUUCCUUCUUAAGUCUAAGUGAUAUUCCACUGUGUUUAUUUAUCAUAUUCUGUUUAUUCAUUCAUCAGAUCACAAAUACGCAGGUUGCUUCCACUUUUAAACUGUGGAAUAUGAUGCUGCAAGAGCAUACUUGCUUUCAAUUUGUUUUUAUUAAUUAUUUGAGAUUUCAUAACGCAUGCAAUGUAUUUGAUCAUGCUUACUUCCCACUCCUCCAUGUAAUUCUUUUUUCUUUUAAUACAAUUUUACUUAUUUUGGUGAUUGUGUACACAAUCUGGUAUGUGUAUGAAGGUCAGAGGAUAACUUUUGGGGAGUCAGUCUUCUUUCUAGCUUGUUUUAAAGUCCUCUUGUUGUUUCUGUUGCUGUGCUGUGUACUUCAGGCUAACUGGCCUUGAGCUUUGUCAAGGCUUCUGCCCAGCGCUGGGAUUACAGCUGUGUGCCACCCUCCCAGCCUUUUUAAAGUGGCUUCCUGGGAGUGUGUGUGGCAAGCACUUUUACCUCCUGAGCCAUCUCUCUAGUCCAGGUCAUACUGUGUUUUGAAUUUUUAAGGAACCGUCGUUUUUUUUUGUUUUUUUUCCCCCACAGCAGAUGUAUUGUAUUCUUCCCACCACUGAGAUAGACAACCAACCCAUAGCUCAUUCUUUUGUUAUGGCAGCCAUCCCAAUGGUCCUGAGGUAGGUGUGUAAGCUUUUAAUGUUAUAAAUCCUGAGAGAAAUGUAAUGGGAUGCAGAUAGUAUAGGAGGGAGCAGGGGGUAUAGUCAGCUGUAUAUAUUUGUGGAUUCCUACUAGAGAUCAAACCAACCAUGAUUGAAGAUAUUAAAAAAUGGUACUGAAUAUACAUAUAUUUUUCUUCUGAUUAGGCAAAAAGAAUAAAUAUAAUAUUUAAUAUUUACAUUGUAUUAAGUUAUUGAGAGAUGAUUUAAAGUGUAUGUUAUCUUAUAUACAAAUAUAAGGGGUGGGGGCCUUGCACAUUUGUGAAUUUUCCAUGCCUGAGAGGAGUCCUGAAACCCUAGCACCAUGGAUACCAGGGAGAACUAGAUUUGGUUAAAUUGAGUUUGAAGGUAUUUUCUUUUUCACCUGUUCUUUUCUUUUCUUUUUUUUUGGGGAGGGGGGGUUGUUUUGUUUUUUUCGAGACAGGGUUUCUCUGUAUAGCCCUGGCUGUCCUGGAACUCACUUUGUAGACCAGGCUGGCCUAGAACUCAGAACUCUACCUGCCUCUGCGUCAAGAGUGCUGGGAUUAAAGGCGAGUGGCACCACGCCCGGCUGACCUGUUCUUUUCUUAAUGGUGGGCAGUCUAGCAGCCUCUUCCUUCACUGGACUUUUGACAUGGUUAAAGGGGAGGAGGGAGCUGCACGCUGUGGUGGCCCUGGGUGGGCUAUUGUCAGUUUGUCCAGAUCAGAUUCUCCAUAGCUUCAGUUCCUUGGGUUUGGAUAAUGGAAGACAUAUUCUUUUUUUUUUUUAAGGGAUAUUAAUCUUUUAUUUUCCCUUUAAUAUGGCAGGCUAAUUAUGUUUCAACAUGUAUCAAUAACUUUGUACUUUAGUCCAUUUAUUUACCUAGUACAUAUAUUGUCAGGAGCUGUAUUGUUUUCUGUCUUCAUUUAUUAUCAUGGACAGGGAUUAAACACAAACACUAUUAUACCACAAUCCAUUUCACGCAUAGCAUAUGUGCUGUAAAAUGUAUCUAAAUUUUAAAAAUACAUAAAAUUAAAAGAAAACGACCAGAUGUGUGCACUCAUGUCCAUAUCCACAGCCUAUAUAAAAAAAUAGAUCUUUACUAUUGUCUAUUGUGUAAUUGAAAAUAAAAUGAUACAUUGAUGAAUUGUGUAAACAUUUGCCAUUAGAACAUAUUUAGAAAAAUAACUCAUUGAUUUUUUUUUAUAUAUUAUG
rnacentral:lncRNA from 1 species